GACGAACGCUGGCGGCGUGCUUAAUACAUGCAAGUCAACGACUUUUAAAGAUAGCAAUAUUUUAAGGGGAGUGGCGCACGGGUGAGUAACACGUAGGCAAUCUACCUUUAGGACUGACACAACUCGUCGAAAGACGGGCUAAUAUCAGAUAAUGCAGCGGCUCCGCAUGGAGACAGUUGUUAAAGUACAAGCGCCUGAAGAUGAGCCUGCGGUCCAUUAGCUAGUUGGUAGAGUAACGGCCUACCAAGGCAACGAUGGAUAGCUGGUCUGAGAGGAUGAUCAGCCAUACUGGAACUGAGACACGGUCCAGACUCCUACGGGAGCAGCAGUAAGGAAU
rnacentral:rRNA from 1 species